ACGGAAGGCAGCAGUGGGGGAUAUUGCACAAUGGGGGAAACCCUGAUGCAGCGACGCCGCGUGAGGGAAGAAGGUUUUCGGAUUGUAAACCUCUGUCUUCAGGGACGAUAAUGACGGUACCUGAGGAGGAAGCCACGGCUAACUACGUGCCAGCAGCCGCGGUAAUACGUAGGUGGCAAGCGUUGUCCGGAAUUACUGGGUGUAAAGGGAGCGUAGGCGGGAAUGCAAGUUGAAUGUUUAAACUAUCGGCUCAACUGAUAGUCGCGUUCAAAACUGCGUUUCUUGAGUGAAGUAGAGGCAAGCGGAAUUCCUAGUGUAGCGGUGAAAUGCGUAGAUAUUAGGAGGAACACCAGUGGCGAAGGCGGCUUGCUGGGCUUUUACUGACGCUGAGGCUCGAAAGUGUGGGUAGCAAACAGGAUUAGAUACCCUGGUA
rnacentral:rRNA from 1 species